CCGGCACGGGUGAGUAACACGUAUGCAAUCCACCUGUAACAGGGGGAGUAACCCGGAGAAAUCCGGACUAAUACCCUAUAAUAUGGGCGCUCCGCAUGGAGAGCCCAUUAAAGAGAGCAAUUUUGGUUACAGACGAGCAUGCGCUCCAUUAGCCAGUUGGCGGGGUAACGGCCCACCAAAGCGACGAUGGAUAGGGGUUCUGAGAGGAAGGUCCCCCACAUUGGAACUGAGACACGGUCCAA
rnacentral:rRNA from 1 species